GGAUCAGAGUAAUGAUUAAUAGGUACAAUCGGAGACAAUCGUAUUUCAUAGUCAGUGAUGAAAUUCUUGGGUUUAUGAAAGAUGAACAACUGCAAAAGCAUUUGCCAAAGAUGUUUUCAUUAAUCAAGAACGAAAGUUGGGGCUCAAAGAUGAUCAGAUAUCAUCCUAGUCUCAACCAUAAAUGAUGCCGACUAGGGAUCGACGGAUGUUGCUUAUAGGACUCCGCUGGCACCUUAUGAAAAAUCAAAGUUUUU
rnacentral:rRNA from 1 species